rnacentral:rRNA from 1 species
UUCCGGUUGAUCCUGCCGGAGGUCACCGCUAUUGGGAUUCGAUUAAGCCAUGCGAGUCGAGAGGGUUCGGCCCUCGGCAGACUGCUCAGUAACGCGUGGAUAAUCUGCCCUUAGGUGGAGGAUAAUCUCGGGAAACUGAGGAUAAUACUCCAUAGAUCUAAGAUGCUGGAAUGCGCUUAGAUUAAAAGUUCCGGCGCCUAAGGAUGAGUCUGCGGACUAUCAGGUAGUAGUCAGGGUAACGGCCUGACUAGCCUACAACGGAUACGGGUUGUGAGAGCAAUAACCCGGAGACGAUAUCUGAGACACGAUAUCGGGCCCUACGGGGCGCAGCAGGCGCGAAACCUUCACACUGUGCGAAAGCGCGAUGAGGGGAUCCCAAGUGCUUGCACGUAAGUGUAAGCUGUUUCUUUGUUUAAAACGCAGAGAGAGGAAGGGCUGGGUAAGACGGGUGCCAGCCGCCGCGGUAAUACCUGCAGCUCGAGUGGUGACCGCUAUUAUUGGGCCUAAAACGUCCGUAGCCGGCUGAGUAAAUGCUUGGGUAAAUCGUGCCGCUUAACGGUACGAAUUCCGGGUAAACUGCUCAGCUUGAGAUCGGGAGAAGCUAGAGGUACUCCUGGGGUAGAGGUGAAAUUCUGUAAUCCUGGGGGGACCACCAGUGGCGAAGGCGUCUAGCUAGAACGAGUCUGACGGUGAGGGACGAAACCCUGGGGCGCAAACCGGAUUAGAUACCCGGGUAGUCCAGGGCGCAAACGCUGCUUGCUUGAUGUUAGCUGGGCUCCGAGCUCAGCUAGUGUCGGAGAGAAGUUGUUAAGCAAGCUGCCUGGGAAGUACGAUCGCAAGAUUGAAACUUAAAGGAAUUGGCGGGGGAGCACAGCAACGGGAGGAGCGUGCGGUUUAAUUGGAUUCAACGCCGG